UGGUGCCUUCGGGAACUGUGAGACAGGUGCUGCAUGGCUGUCGUCAGCUCGUGUUGUGAAAUGUUGGGUUAAGUCCCGCAACGAGCGCAACCCUUAUCCUUUGUUGCCAGCGGUUAGGCCGGGAACUCAAAGGAGACUGCCAGUGAUAAACUGGAGGAAGGUGGGGAUGACGUCAAGUCAUCAUGGCCCUUACGACCAGGGCUACACACGUGCUACAAUGGCGCAUACAAAGAGAAGCGACCUCGCGAGAGCAAGCGGACCUCAUAAAGUGCGUCGUAGUCCGGAUUGGAGUCUGCAACUCGACUCCAUGAAGUCGGAAUCGCUAGUAAUCGUGGAUCAGAAUGCCACGGUGAAUACGUUCCCGGGCCUUGUACACACCGCCCGUCACACCAUGGGAGUGGGUUGCAAAAGAAGUAGGUAGCUUAACCUUCGGGAGGGCGCUUACCACUUUGUGAUUCAUGACUGGGGUGAAGUCGUAACAAGGUAACCGUAGGGGAACCUGC
rnacentral:rRNA from 1 species